CCUGGCGGCGAGUGGCGAACGGGUGAGUAAUACAUCGGAACGUGCCCAAUCGUGGGGGAUAACGCAGCGAAAGCUGUGCUAAUACCGCAUACGAUCUACGGAUGAAAGCAGGGGAUCGCAAGACCUUGCGCGAAUGGAGCGGCCGAUGGCAGAUUAGGUAGUUGGUGAGGUAAAGGCUCACCAAGCCUUCGAUCUGUAGCUGGUCUGAGAGGACGACCAGCCACACUGGGACUGAGACACGGCCCAGACUCCUACGGGAGGCAGCAGUGGGGAAUUUUGGACAAUGGGCGAAAGCCUGAUCCAGCCAUGCCGCGUGCAGGAUGAAGGCCUUCGGGUUGUAAACUGCUUUUGUACGGAACGAAACGGCCUUUUCUAAUAAAGAGGGCUAAUGACGGUACCGUAAGAAUAAGCACCGGCUAACUACGUGCCAGCAGCCGCGGUAAUACGUAGGGUGCAAGCGUUAAUCGGAAUUACUGGGCGUAAAGCGUGCGCAGGCGGUUAUGUAAGACAGUUGUGAAAUCCCCGGGCUCAACCUGGGAACUGCAUCUGUGACUGCAUAGCUAGAGUACGGUAGAGGGGGAUG
rnacentral:rRNA from 1 species